GCCUGCAUCCGCGCGAACGCCCACGCCUGCACCCACGCGAUCGAAGAGGGCUAGGGCUUCUCUCCCUGUCGAUUCACACCCAUAUCCGCGCCGCAUUCCUCACCCCUCUCCUCUCUGCUGCAAACGGAUCUCGCCGCCCCGUCGCCUCGCGAGCACAUCGCCGGCGCGCAUCCUCUCCGUGCAGAGAUGGAUGACAACGGCAAGAUUCGAGAUACGCUGAUAGUGCAAGCUGCUGGUUUGUUGCUGUUGUGUGUGCCUAUAUGGCCACAAUAACUACGAGGGCUAGAAUUAGAAACUAUCGUGCUCCAAUUCGUUAUGUUAUGCUUGAGAGAGACGUAGCUAGGUUGUCCAAUCUACGUUUUAUCUAUGAAACCAAUGAUAUAAAUUGCCAUGACCUACUAAGGAUGAACAGGGCCCCAUUUUAUAACUUGUGUAACUUGUUCCGUGAUCGGAAAUUGUUGGAAGACAGCAUUCAUACCUGCAUUGAGGAGCAGGUUGCCAUGUUCCUUCUUGUAGUUGGGCACAACCAUAGGUUUAGGGCAAUGAAACCCAUAUUUAGGAGGUCAAUUGAAGUAAUCAGUCGAUACUUCAAGGCAGUUUUAUAUGCAAUUGGGGAGUUGCGUGAUGAGAUGAUCCAGCCCCCUUCCAAUGAAGUUCAUCCAAAAAUCCUACAUAGUAGGCGCUUCUAUCCCUUCUUCAAGGUAAUACUUUACCAUUUAGAAUUAUAUGGACAUGCCGGAUAACCCAUAACGUGUCCCUCAAAACAAGAAGGAAUUAUUCAACCUCCGCCACUCCUCAUUGAGGAUCAUGGUUGAGAGGGCGUUUGCAGCUUACAAGAACCGGUGGAGAAUUGUGGACAACAAGCCUCACCACCCUUAUCCUUCACAAGUCAAAAUCGUCCUAGCUUGCUGCAUUCUUCAUAAUUGGAUACUUCAGUGGGGAGAGGAUGAGUUUGUACCACCUGAGCACACUUGGACUGGAAAUCCAGCAUCGGAUGGUGUGAUUGACAUAGAACAUGAUAAUAGAACCUGGUCACAAAUUAGAGAUGGUUGGGCUGGGCAUAUGUUUGCCAAUAGGGGCAAUUCACGUGUGUAGAGCUCAAGUGUAGAGCUCAAUUCUAUAUUGUAAUGCACUAUGAAUAAUUCUAUGUUGUAAUGCACUAUGAAUAAUUCUAUAUAUGUGAAGGAAUGUAUGUGAAGGAAUGUAACAUGGACCUUAUGUUAUGUUCCUUUGUUGGACUGUAAUGCGCCCAAUAUGAAUUUGUGGCUAUCUAAUAUGUGAACUCUAGGAUGUGCUGGACUGUAAUAUGGAUCAUAUGAAUUUGUGGCUCUAUAAUAUGUGGACUCUUAAGAUGUACU